CGCGGCCUAUCAGCUUGUUGGUGAGGUAACGGCUCACCAAGGCAACGACGGGUAGCUGGUCUGAGAGGAUGGCCAGUCACACGGGGACUGAGAUACGGCCCCGACUCCUACGGGAGGCAGCAGUGGGGAAUAUUGCACAAUGGGCGCAAGCCUGAUGCAGCGACGCCGCGUGGGGGAUGACGGCCUUCGGGUUGUAAACCUCUUUCAGUACAGACGAAGCGUAAGUGACGGUAUGUACAGAAGAAGCACCGGCCAACUACGUGCCAGCAGCCGCGGUAAUACGUAGGGUGCGAGCGUUGUCCGGAAUUACUGGGCGUAAAGAGCUCGUAGGUGGUUUGUCGCGUUGUUCGUGAAAACCUGAGGCUUAACCUUGGGCGUGCGGGCGAUACGGGCAGACUGGAGUACUGCAGGGGAGACUGGAAUUCCUGGUGUAGCGGUGGAAUGCGCAGAUAUCAGGAGGAACACCGGUGGCGAAGGCGGGUCUCUGGGCAGUAACUGACGCUGAGGAGCGAAAGCGUGGGGAGCGAACAGGAUUAGAUACCCUGGUAGUCCACGCCGUAAACGGUGGGUACUAGGUGUGGGUUUCCUUCCUUGGGAUCCGUGCCGUAGCUAACGCAUUAAGUACCCCGCCUGGGGAGUACGG
rnacentral:rRNA from 1 species